rnacentral:rRNA from 1 species
UGGGGAAUUUUGGACAAUGGGCGAAAGCCUGAUCCAGCAAUGCCGCGUGUGGGAAGAAGGCCUUCGGGUUGUAAACCACUUUUGUACGGAACGAAACGGUCUGCCUUAAUACGGUGGGCUAAUGACGGUACCGUAAGAAUAAGCACCGGCUAACUACGUGCCAGCAGCCGCGGUAAUACGUAGGGUGCGAGCGUUAAUCGGAAUUACUGGGCGUAAAGCGUGCGCAGGCGGUUAUAUAAGACAGUUGUGAAAUCCCCGGGCUCAACCUGGGAACUGCAUCUGUGACUGUAUAGCUAGAGUACGGUAGAGGGGGAUGGAAUUCCGCGUGUAGCAGUGAAAUGCGUAGAUAUGCGGAGGAACACCGAUGGCGAAGGCAAUCCCCUGGACCUGUACUGACGCUCAUGCACGAAAGCGUGGGGAGCAAACA